rnacentral:rRNA from 1 species
GGCUCAGAUUGAACGCUGGCGGAAUGCUUUACACAUGCAAGUCGAACGGCAGCAGGGGCAACUGGUGGCGAGUGGCGAACGGGUGAGUAAUACAUCGGAACGUGCCCAAUCGUGGGGAUAACGUAGCGAAAGUUACGCUAAUACCGCAUACGAUCUACGGAUGAAAGCGGGGGAUCGCAAGACCUCGCGCGAAUGGAGCGGCCGAUGUCAGAUUAGGUAGUUGGUGGGGUAAAGGCUCACCAAGCCAACGAUCUGUAGCUGGUCUGAGAGGACGACCAGCCACACUGGAACUGAGACACGGUCCAGACUCCUACGGGAGGCAGCAGUGGGGAAUUUUGGACAAUGGGCGCAAGCCUGAUCCAGCCAUUCCGCGUGCAGGAUGAAGGCCUUCGGGUUGUAAACUGCUUUUGUACGGAACGAAACGGCGAGCUCUAAUACAGUUUGCUAAUGACGGUACCGUAAGAAUAAGCACCGGCUAACUACGUG